GAUGAACGCUGGCGGCGUGCCUAAUACAUGCAAGUCGAGCGAACAGACGAGGAGCUUGCUCCUCUGACGUUAACGGCGGACGGGUGAGUAACACGUGGAUAACCUACCUAUAAGACUGGGAUAACUUCGGGAAACCGGAGCUAAUACCGGAUAAUAUAUUGAACCGCAUGGUUCAAUAGUGAAAGACGGUUUUGCUGUCACUUAUAGAUGGAUCCGCGCCGCAUUAGCUAGUUGGUAAGGUAACGGCUUACCAAGGCGACGAUGCGUAGCCGACCUGAGAGGGUGAUCGGUCACACUGGAACUGAGACACGGUCCAGACUCCUACGGGAGGCAGCAGUAGGGAAUCUUCCGCAAUGGGCGAAAGCCUGACGGAGCAACGCCGCGUGAGUGAUGAAGGUCUUCGGAUCGUAAAACUCUUUUAUUAGGGAAGAAGAAAUGUGUAAGUACCUAUGCACGUCUUGACGGUACCUAAACAGAAAGCCACGGCUAACUACGUG
rnacentral:rRNA from 1 species